AGUGAACGCUGGCGGUAGGCCUAACACAUGCGAGUCGAACGGCAGCACAGUAAGAGCUUGCUCUUACGGGUGGCGAGUGGCGGACGGGUGAGGAAUACAUCGGAAUCUACUUUUUCGUGGGGGAUAACGUAGGGAAACUUACGCUAAUACCGCAUACGACCUACGGGUGAAAGCAGGGGAUCUUCGGACCUUGCGCGAUUGAAUGGGCCGAUGCCGGAUUAGCUAGUUGGCGGGGUAAAGGCCCACCAAGGCGACGAUCCGUAGCUGGUCUGAGAGGAUGAUCAGCCACACUGGAACUGAGACACGGUCCAGACUCCUACGGGAGGCAGCAGUGGGGAAUAUUGGACAAUGGGCGCAAGCCUGAUCCAGCCAUACCGCGUGGGUGAAGAAGGCCUUCGGGUUGUAAAGCCCUUUUGUUGGGAAAGAAAAGCAGCAGGUUAAUACCCCGCUGUUCUGACGGUACCCAAAGAAUAAGCACCGGCUAACUUCGUG
rnacentral:rRNA from 1 species